AUGCAAUACUAUAGAAAAAUGCCCACCCACCCUCCACCCCCUCCCAGCCCCGCCCCGGCGCCGGCGGCCGUGGCCCCCUCGGCCUCCCACGCCGGCCUGCCUGCCGCCUCCUGGUGCAUGCCGCUCCCGUCCCCGCUGUCGGGGCCGCCGGCAGCUGUUUCGGCGCGUGUUGCUCCCCUGCCGCUGCUGUCGGGGGGCUCCUGGGCGGAUCUGGUGUCGCCGCCGUCCCAUGGUCGCUGCAUUGUUGCCGCGUCUGGAUCCGAGUUCGUCCCCGAGUCGCCGCUGGGUUCUGGCCCGCUGGUGACCGGCUCAGUCGCUCCUCCCCCCGAAUCGGCUCGCCCUGAGCCUGGAUCCGGCAUUCACUGCGAGGUGGGUGCGGGCAUUCACUCCGCGUCGGGAACGCUCUCCAGCCCAUCUCCAGCAGCAACGUGCGCGGGGCGCGAGGCGGAUGUGACCGGUGCUUGGCAGCUCGUCACGUCGCGGCGAGGCCCGCGCCUCCCGGCUUUGCCUGGCCAAGCAUUCAUGCCGUCCACCCUCCCAUGGUGGCUUAAAGGGCGCUGCUGCCGUUGCCUUGCUCCUGGACAUCGCGCCUCAGCUUGUCGUGACCCAUUCCGCUGCUCUCGCUGCCUUCAAAAUGGUCACCGAGCCAGGGGCUGCAAUAAAAAGUGGCGCCCGUUAAGUUCCCUGCCGUGCCUCGCCUUCGUCCCCCCACCGCCGCUUCCCCGACCAGCUGCUACUGUAGACUGCAUCCCGACUCCCGUCUUUGGGCCUGGACGGGGCCGGCCUCUCCCUCAGCCCCGUCAGAAGCUGCUGUCCGACUGCUCCAACCAUGCAAUGCCAAGGCUGGAUGAUGCGGCCAACCGGCCGGAGGAGGACUUCGUCGUCGUCUCAGCCACGCCGGAGAUGCAGGCGGAGUCGGCGCUGCUCUCCACCAAUGCAGCGGUGGCGUGGUUUGAGGGAGCCCGCGAGGAUGUCCCAUGCCACGCCGUCGCAGUUGCAUUCGCCUCCACCUUUGGCUUCCGUCAGGCGGCCGUGAGUGUGGUGCGGCACUUCCCCGAGCAGUAUCUCGUCAGGUUUAUGUACCAAACACAAUUGUGCCGACGCGGUCAACCGCGGCGACUUCCUCGUCGGCAACUCCUCCCUCUUCGUCCGCGCUUGGAGGCUCGAGGCGCACGCUGA
rnacentral:rRNA from 1 species